GAGAAAGAAGGACUUAACCUGAGAGACUGCUAACCUCUCAAACCUGCGGUUAAACUCCGCGGCUUACUCA
rnacentral:tRNA from 1 species